AGUGGACGCUGGCGGUAGGCCUAACACAUGCAAGUCGAACGGCAGCACAGUAAGAGCUUGCUCUUACGGGUGGCGAGUGGCGGACGGGUGAGGAAUACAUCGGAAUCUACUUUUUCGUGGGGGAUAACGUAGGGAAACUUACGCUAAUACCGCAUACGACCUACGGGUGAAAGCAGGGGAUCUUCGGACCUUGCGCGAUUGAGUGAGCCGAUGUCGGAUUAGCUAGUUGGCGGGGUAAAGGCCCACCAAGGCGACGAUCCGUAGCUGGUCUGAGAGGAUGAUCAGCCACACUGGAACUGAGACACGGUCCAGACUCCUACGGGAGGCAGCAGUGGGGAAUAUUGGACAAUGGGCGCAAGCCUGAUCCAGCCAUACCGCGUGGGUGAAGAAGGCCUUCGGGUUGUAAAGCCCUUUUGUUGGGAAAGAAAAGCAGCAGGUUAAUACCCCGCUGUUCUGACGGUACCCAAAGAAUAAGCACCGGCUAACUUCGUG
rnacentral:rRNA from 1 species